rnacentral:rRNA from 1 species
AUUGAACGCUGGCGGAAUGCUUUACACAUGCAAGUCGAGCGGCAGCGCGGGGGCAACCCUGGCGGCGAGCGGCGAACGGGUGAGUAACAUAUCGGAACGUACCCCGUCGUAGGGGAUAACACAGCGAAAGCUGUGCUAAUACCGCAUACGACCUGAGGGUGAAAGCGGGGGACCGUAAGGCCUCGCGCGAUGGGAGCGGCCGAUAUCGGAUUAGCUUGUUGGGGAGGUAAAGGCUCACCAAGGCGACGAUCCGUAGCUGGUCUGAGAGGACGGCCAACCAGACUGGAACUGAGGCACGGUCCAGACUCCUACGGGGGGCAGCAGUGGGGAAUUUUGGGCAAUGGGGGCAGCCCUGAUCCAGCCAUUCCGCGUGUGUGAAGAAGGCCUUCGGGUUGUAAAGCUCUUUCGGCAGGAACGAAACGGUGGCCACUAAUACUGGCUACUAAUGACGGUACCUGAAGAAGAAGCACCGGCUAACUACGUGCCAGCCGCCGCCGUAAGAC